rnacentral:rRNA from 1 species
CCUACGGGGGGCAGCAGUGGGGAAUAUUGGGCAAUGGGCGCAAGCCUGACCCAGCAACGCCGCGUGAAGGAAGAAGGCUUUCGGGUUGUAAACUUCUUUUCUAAGGGACGAAGCAAGUGACGGUACCUGAGGAAUAAGCCACGGCUAACUACGUGCCAGCAGCCGCGGUAAUACGUAGGUGGCAAGCGUUAUCCGGAUUUACUGGGUGUAAAGGGCGUGUAGGCGGGGACGCAAGUCAGAUGUGAAAACCAGGGGCUCAACCUGCGGCCUGCAUUUGAAACUGUGGUUCUUGAGAACUGGAGUGG